rnacentral:rRNA from 1 species
AUUGAACGCUGGCGGCAUGCCUUACACAUGCAAGUCGAACGGUAACAGGUCUUCGGAUGCUGACGAGUGGCGAACGGGUGAGUAAUACAUCGGAACGUGCCCGAUCGUGGGGGAUAACGGAGCGAAAGCUUUGCUAAUACCGCAUGCGAUCUACGGAUGAAAGCAGGGGACCGCAAGGCCUUGCGCGGACGGAGCGGCCGAUGGCAGGUUAGGUAGUUGGUGGGAUAAAAGCUUACCAAGCCGACGAUCUGUAGCUGGUCUGAGAGGACGACCAGCCACACUGGGACUGGGACACGGCCCAGACUCCUACGGGAGGCAGCAGUGGGGAAUUUUGGACAAUGGGCGAAAGCCUGAUCCAGCCAUGCCGCGUGCAGGAUGAAGGCCUUCGGGUUGUAAACUGCUUUUGUACGGAACGAAAAGACUCCUUCUAAUAAAGGGGGUCCAUGACGGUACCGUAAGAAUAAGCACCGGCUAACUACGUGCCAGCCGCCGCGGUAAAAC